AGGAUGGUGAAUUUAUAAUGCAUACAUGUGUAUGGCUGCCUCAGGCCUGCCAAUCCUUUCCCAGUCAUAUGUGUAUUGCAAACACAGAUGGACAGACCCACAAAACCCACGUCUGUUAUAGAAUAUCUUGCGGUUGGGUGCAUAAUGUUGGGUAAAUACUGACCUCUGAGGAAGAAAAUGAAUAAGUAUAACCAAAUGCAGGAUAUUGUAAUGGAAAAAGAAAACUCAGUUUUAAGAGCCUAGGACCCUGUUUACCCCUGGUCGUUUAAUGAGAUUAGUAUGUGGACAGCAUCCUGAUAAGGUUUUAACCACAUGCAUUUAAACUUGUUAGUCAAAAGUGGAUGUUAACGAGAAACAAAGAAUAUAGCAGUGUCCCUGGUUGCAGCUGUAGCAAAUGCCACAACGGUCCACAGAUCAGUUUGGGCAUGAGAAUUGAGUGAAGACUGGUGGGAAUGAAUCAUGCUGAGGACCUCCUCGUGUUCACGUGUCACAGGCAUUGUGAUGCUUGGGUUGAUGAAUGUGGCAUGGAGAGACAGAGGCAUGUACACUGCCAUAACAUUUGGCUAAAAUGCGUCUGAGACCACCCCCUGAAGUGGUCUGACAGAAUUUAUUUUAAAUGCGUCUUGGCUAUGUUUACACCUGUAUUUUUACAUGGAUAAUAUCUAUCCAGAUAUAAUCCUGAUACUCAAAACACAUGAAACAACCAGGUGUAAACAGAGUCUAGUAUUGCAAUAAUUAGUUAUUUUGAAAAUAUAUCACAGCUUCAAAAUAUUAUUUUUUUGUUUUAGGUUUUUAGGUAAAAUAUCUAUCAGGUGAUAAAUUUUAAAAGAUCAACUUUUUUACAGUGCACAGAUUCUGCAUAUAUAUUAAGAUAUUACAUUAUAAUAUUAAUAUAAUAUAUUAUAUUAAACGCUCAGUGUUUUGUUUUUGUUCGCCAGCAGACCGGAGUGUCUCCCGUUUCCCUGGCAACCUAGUUCCGUGUUUUCUAGCUUUUGUCUGUUUCCAUGGUUCCCUGUCGCCUCCCCUUUAUCUCCAGCUUGUUUCUGCGUCUCUUGUUUGUUGGUAAUUUUUUUUUGCUAUAUCCUGCUUGAGCUCUGUUGUUACCAAGUAUUUUCUCUCCGUGUUCCAGGUGUCUGUACCAUGUGGGUUGCCAGUGUGAAUGUCUGAACAGAGACUCACCCCAUAUGAGGCAGCAUUGUGUAGAGGAAUGAGCCCCCCUUUGUCCUGCGAAUUCACCUCAGCUCCAUGCUGCAUCUCCAGAUCUCCUGACUUGGAUGCCUCUAGGAGCUGCCUGUCUGUCUCCAAGUUUCCCAUUAGCACUCCUUCUAGUAAUGAAGAGCACAGCCCUCUUAUAGAAAAAUGUACUAGCAGCACCUGGCUGUUGUAGAAGUUUCUGUUCUUCAUAGCUGGGUUGUGCAGUCCUGUGGGUAGAGCACGCACCCUGCAGGAUGUCCUGCAGGCUCUCACUGGCGAGCUG